rnacentral:rRNA from 1 species
CCUACGGGUAGCAGCAGUGGGGGAUAUUGCACAAUGGGGGAAACCCUGAUGCAGCGACGCCGCGUGGGUGAAGAAGCGCCUCGGCGCGUAAAGCCCUGUCAGCAGGGAAGAAAAUGACGGUACCUGAAGAAGAAGCCCCGGCUAACUACGUGCCAGCAGCCGCGGUAAUACGUAGGGGGCAAGCGUUAUCCGGAUUUACUGGGGGUAAAGGGGGCGCAGACGGCGAUUCAAGCCAGGAGUGAAAGCCCGGGGCCCCACCCCGGGACUGCUCUUGGAACUGCGUGGCUAGAGUGCAGGAGGGGCAGGCGGAAUUCCUGGUGUAGCGGUGAAAUGCGUAGAUAUCAGGAGGAACACCGGUGGCGAAGGCGGCCUGCUGGACUGCAACUGACGUUGAGGCCCGAAAGCGUGGGGAGCAAACAGGAUUAGAUACCCGAGUAGAC